rnacentral:rRNA from 1 species
AACGUAGGACGCGAGCGUUAUCCGGAGUUACUGGCGUAAAGCGUGACGUAGGCGGUGUCUUUAAGUUUGUUGUGAAAUCUCCCGGCUUAACCGGGAGGGUGCGGCGAAUACUGAGAUGCUGGAGUGCCGGAGAGGUAAGCGGAAGUUCCUGGUGGUAGCGGUGAAAUGACGUAGAGUAUCAGGAGGAACACCUGCGGUGUAGACGGCUUACUGGACGGUAACUGACGCUGAGGCACGAAAGCGUGGGUAGCAAACAGG